GGUCACUCAGGACAGGGUCACUCAGGUCACUCAGGCCAGGUCACUCAGGUCACUCAGGUCACUCAGGGUCACUCAUGGCAGGGUCACUCAGGUCACUCAGGGUCACUCAGGCCACUCAGGGUCACUCAGGACAGGUCACUC